GACGAACGCUGGCGGCGUGCCUAAUACAUGCAAGUAGAACGCUGAAGAGAGGAGCUUGCUCUUCUUGGAUGAGUUGCGAACGGGUGAGUAACGCGUAGGUAACCUGCCUGGUAGCGGGGGAUAACUAUUGGAAACGAUAGCUAAUACCGCAUAAAAUGGAUUAUCGCAUGAUAAUCCAUUGAAAGGUGCAAAUGCAUCACUACCAGAUGGACCUGCGUUGUAUUAGCUAGUUGGUGGGGUAACGGCUCACCAAGGCGACGAUACAUAGCCGACCUGAGAGGGUGAUCGGCCACACUGGGACUGAGACACGGCCCAGACUCCUACGGGAGGCAGCAGUAGGGAAUCUUCGGCAAUGGACGGAAGUCUGACCGAGCAACGCCGCGUGAGUGAAGAAGGUUUUCGGAUCGUAAAGCUCUGUUGUAAGAGAAGAACGAGUGUGAGAGUGGAAAGUUCACACUGUGACGGUAGCUGACCAGAAAGGGACGGCUAACUACGUG
rnacentral:rRNA from 1 species